rnacentral:misc_RNA from 1 species
UCGACAUGCGGUGCCGGAUAACAUCCGGCGGGGGCGACCCCAGGGAAAGUGCCACAGAGAACGAACCGCUCCCUCCUCGGAGGAAGUAAGGGUGAAAAGGUGCGGUAAGAGCGCACCGCGUUUCCGGCAACGGAGACGGCAUGGCAAACCACACCGGGAGCAAAACCGAAUAGGGACGGCAACGCGGUUAGUUCGCGCUUGCGCGAUAACACCGCAGGGCGAUGUCAGGCCCGCUGUCCGGGUAGGUUGCCCGAGGCAAGGUGCGAACCUUGUCCCAGAGGAAUGGCCGUCGCGCAUCAUUCGCAAGAAUGGUG